rnacentral:rRNA from 1 species
ACAGUGCCACCAAAGUAAACCGCAAAUGAGAGACAACCCCCCACUCGACUGCCGUCGUUUCCGCAAAUGGAGAGAAAGUGAUAAACGUCACAAUUCCAAGGGUGAAAAAUACGACGGUUUAGACUAUUGAGUCCAACAAUUGACAUUCCAAAGCAACUUUGCUGACCUUCUAGAGGAGAACCGACUACUCUCUUAUGAAUACGGUUUAGGUGGAUAACUAGGACUCGAAGGUCGGUAAAGAUAGUUCUUACCUUUGAAAAGUACCCUCAACGUCCGACUCGCUGGUUGUGAUAGUUUACAGUUAGACCUGCACGGACAGCCGUCAAAUCAACGUUAUCAUCCUUCGUGACCCCUCCCCUUCUGAAGAGAAUAAAGACGUUACGAACCACUUUAUCGUGGUCAUAGUCCUAGUCUAUGGAGUCACCAGUAAGCACCAAGUCACCGUAUACAAGGAGUUCAAAGUACCUAGAAGUUACGAUGGCAGGCCCUAUUGUAUAACAAACCCAGAGGUAAGGUUGGAAGCGCGAUGCCCUCUCGUUAUCUAAGAUGACGUAAUGCUGUACUGGAACUGGAUGAGGGUC